GGCUGAUAGAUCUUGACCUAAUGAACAUUUUUACCCCAUGUCAGAUUUGCUCUAAAUGCUUUCGUUUUUGAGAUAUAAGCCAAAAACUGCAUUUGACCCCUAUGUUCUAUUUUAAGUAACGGCGGCCAUGUUUUUUGACGGAUCAAAAAUCGAAGCACACACUUUGUGCAGGAUAAUCUAAGGAACAAUCAUGCUAAGUUUCAUUCAAAUCCAUUCAGUAGUUUCAGAGGAGAAGAUGUUUGAAAAAUUGUUAACGACGACGACGACGACGGACGCCAAGUGAUGAGAAAAGCUCACAUGGCCUUUUAGGCCAGGUGAGCUAAUAAAACUAAUGGGCAGUUGAUAACAAUCAUUAGAAGGAAGACUCACUGUUUUAUCAAUGUAGUCUAAGAUACAUUGAACAACUUUAAG
rnacentral:lncRNA from 1 species